rnacentral:rRNA from 1 species
UACGAAGGGGGGCUAGCGUUGCUCGGAAUUACUGGGCGUAAAGCGCACGUAGGCGGCUUUCUAAGUCGGGGGGUGAAAUCCUGGAGCUCAACUCCAGAACUGCCUUCGAUACUGGAGAGCUCGAGUUCGGGAGAGGUGAGUGGAACUGCGAGUGUAGAGGUGAAAUUCGUAGAUAUCAGGAGGAACACCGGUGGCGAAGGCGGGUCUCUGGGCCGAUACUGACACUGAGGAGCGAAAGCGUGGGGAGCGAACAGG